GGCUGGUAAAAGUGAGUGCAGUGGUGUUUGGUAUUUACAAAUCAUUGAUCGUAACACUCCCACUGCUUUACUGUCUAGCCUUUA
rnacentral:sRNA from 1 species